rnacentral:miRNA from 1 species
CGAAUCAAACACAUUGUCGAG